CCUACGGGGGGCAGCAGUGAGGAAUAUUGGUCAAUGGACGAGAGUCUGAACCAGCCAAGUAGCGUGAAGGAUGACUGCCCUAUGGGUUGUAAACUUCUUUUAUAUGGGAAUAAAACGUUCCACGUGUGGGAUUUUGUAUGUACCAUAUGACUAAGGAUCGGCUAACUCCGUGCCAGCAGCCGCGGUAAUACGGAGGAUCCGAGCGUUAUCCGGAUUUAUUGGGUUUAAAGUGAGCGUAGGUGGAUUGUUAAGUCAGUUGUGAAAGUUUGCGGCUCAACCGUAAAAUUGCAGUUGAUACGGGCAGUCUUGAGUACAGUAGAGGUGGGCGGAAUUCGUGGUGUAGCGGUGAAAUGCUUAGAUAUCACGAAGAACUCCGAUUGCGAAGGCAGUUCACUGGACUGCAACUGACACUGAGGCUCGAAAGUGUGGGUAUCAAACAGGAUUAGAUACCCGAGUAGUC
rnacentral:rRNA from 1 species